CACUUUCUUCUGAAUUUUGGGUUGACUCCACACUGUGUUGACUCCACAAUUGACCAGGGUAUUUGAUGUUGCCUCAGAAAUGUUCUUGAGAAAAAUGGUGUUGGAACUGGGAAUUUUCAGGUUCAACGGAGCUAGAAAUUACAUAUCUUCCUGUCUAGGAGGUGAUCCACGAAUCCUGAAUGCAUGGAUGCUCUUCUAAUACCAUGUUUUAGCCUACAGAAUGAACUUCAUGCACAGGACAGAUAGACAUUUGGAGAAAGCUGAAUGUUGACAUGGGAAUGGUCCACUGUGACACUGACUGAGGGGGAAAAAUUGUCCUCUGGUGAAUGAGUACAGCUUUCUGGAUAUUUUGCACAACUAGAAAAUCACAAAGAUGUGAACAAACAAUAAUAUUAUCACAAGGCAAAACUGACUGAAUUUGGCAAUUCUAUACAAAGGGAUUUUCAGCACAGAUGCAAACAUCAGAAUAAAUUACUGUCCUAAUGGCA
rnacentral:lncRNA from 1 species